rnacentral:rRNA from 1 species
GUCCACGCCGUAAACGAUGGGUGCUAGGUGUGGGGGUGUCGACUCCCUCCGUGCCGAAGCUAACGCAUUAAGCACCCCGCCUGGGGAGUACGGCCGCAAGGCUAAAAACUCAAAAGGAAUUGACGGGGGCCCGCACAAGCAGCGGAGCAUGUGGUUUAAUUCGACGCGACGCGAAGAACCUUACCAAGGCUUGACAUGCACGGGAAUGUCGGAGAAAUUCGGCAGCCCUUCGGGGCUCGUGCACAGGUGGUGCAUGGCUGUCGU